rnacentral:lncRNA from 1 species
GUUCAGACGCUGCAGUUCACAUUCGGCAUCUUUUUUUGCAGGAAGCACAGAUGAAAUUUCACAGCACUCAGCUCCAGUCACUGCCAUGGGAUGUGACCAGGGCACAGCAUUUCCUGGCAGAGCUCGGGUUCUUGCUCAUUUUGAAAACAUUUUCCCUUUUUUCUGUGUUCCUGAAACAGAAGUUGCUGGAGAUAAGAAUUACUUUAGUUACACGUGCAACCUGUCAUGCGUUCCAAUCUGCAUUUCUUCUCAGCCUUCAGUGACUGUGGCACAACAAUUAGCUCCAUUAUCUGCAAUGGAACACAAGAUGCAGCCUCUGCAUUUCUGCAUCAAGACACCAACAGAUCAUGCCUUGAUCCAACAUGUUGCGUUCAAGGACAGCUAGCAAGACAAGGUUUCGUCUCACACACUAUUAAUGAGGUACGUAUAACCCCAAAU